AACACUGAGCUGUGUACUCAGUUUGUACUUUCCUCCUGAGCACAGGGGAAACCUGGAGCAACAGCAUGCUAGCAAGACACUGCUUCACCUGCAGAGUGUGAAGGUGGGAGGUGAGCAUUCCUGGACAACCUCUGAGAAAGUUUCAGAAAGGAAGAACCCUCCUAGAAGCUGAGUGGAAGAAUGGAGUCACUAUUGAUCUUUGACAUGGGAUGGGGCCGCCAUAUUGUUUGCCAAAGAGAAUGUACCCCUAGUGGUGUUGGUUGUCCUUCAUGAAUGGAGAUCUUGGACUUUGAAAAUGAAGGCAUGUACUGGUUCCCAUCUGGCUGCACAUGAGAAUCAUCUGGGAAGCGCAGGAAAACCAGGACAAGGCCACACCCCUGGAGACGCUCGUUCAAUUGGUCUGGGCACCAAGGCCUGAGACCCACUGAGGUAAAACUACCAUUUAAGUGCACGGAAUUGAGAACCAAAAAGUUCAUC
rnacentral:lncRNA from 1 species